GGCAGAACAGUGGCAGUUCUGGGCUGGUUCUGUUGCUGAGCCCUUUAUGGAUGCUGGUGGGCAAAGUUGUGUUUAUUCUAUUUAGGUGCUACUGUAGGAUGACUCAGGCCUGGUGCCUGUGGCUGGAAAGCUUGAGUGAGUAUAACAAAGUGCUAAGUCUGAGCCUGCAUGUAGACACAUCAGUUGCGCUCUUUGGUGGUUUUACUUGAUUCUUUUGUGAAUCAGUCUUUGGGGACCAUAACACACAAGUUGUGACUACUUGCAUGUAGGGCUACUGUAAGGAGAUAGAUUUUUAUUUUGGCAGGGAUUUCUCUUAUCUAAUACUGUGAUAAUGUGUGAUGGUAUGUUUGAGAACCAACUUGUAGCUUCAGCAUCCUGCUUCCUCCUGGCUUUAAUAUGAGGAUUCUUGAGUAGAUGAUAAAUCACAUGAGUUUUCUACCUAAUGUUACUAUGUCUGGGAAACUUGGAUCCUUCCUAGCCAUCCUACAAUGUGAAGAUUUAACUCAGAAAUCGUGAGCUAUUGUCUCAUACCUGAGGUCAAUGUUGUGCUACAUUUUACUUCUGUGUUUUCCCUGGAUACAGGCUGUCUAAAAAAGAACAGUUCACCAAUAUGUCUUUUGGAUUUUGCUGUGGCAGGAGUUCUAGACUUCACCUAACCCCUAUUUUCUUUCCAAGGUACUGUCUUUUGUGUACAGCAAUCAGAGUAGUUGGGAGAAUAAUGUUCAUUUCCUGUUAAUAGCCAGUUAAUGGCUGGGACUUCAUAACUCUGGAGAACUUUGUGACCUUAAAAAUGUCUCAAAAUGUCCUGCUGACCUUACUUGUUUGAUGGGCAGAUUCUUUGAUUGUGUCUUUGGAGAAUGGAUCAGGCUUCCUUCUUUCCCCCAAAUGGCAUCUGAAUAAUUACUUUGGAGAGAGAAAUGUUAGUGAAAAGGCUUUAACUCUAGACAAAUACUGAAAAGAUGGUAAAUGAUACUGAAAAAGUGGUUAAAUUUCACGUGAUUAAAAGCAAAUAGGGCAAAACCUUUGUGGUCCAGUAGAAUAAGGCACAAAACCAAUUGGUCAGGAAAAUCUUGAUCUUCCUAUUCUUUUCUUUUUGAAGUUCUGGAACAGCCUAAACCGAGUAAUUGGCUUUUCUUACCUCUUCUUUGCAAGAACCAUUCAUUAUAAACGCACAUCUGAGAUGCAAAUGUUUGGCUCAGGGGACAGAAUUGUGCUGUAUUGUCUAUAUCUCCUGUGGCUACAAAGAGACAUGAGAACAUUGCUCAAUAAUCGGCCCAUUAACGAGGCCGCCAGUCACAUCCUGAAAAUGAAGAUCAUCCCUCUUGCUCAUGUAAAGCUGUUUUUGAUUAAAGUGUGUGCAAAAUAUCAAAACAGAUACUUGAUGAUACAACUUUAUAGCUGGAGUUGAGGUUUGUGACUAUGAAUAGCUAUGUAUUUUAGUCUUUAAAUCUAUGCACCUGUUUUUGCAGUAUUCCAUCUGCACUGGAUGUGGAUGAGGCUAGAAAGGCUUUUAAUCACUUGAGCUGGCACCAGCUAAGUUCUUACAGAUGGGGUGGGUUGGUAUUCACCACUGACCACAAAAUCAGUGCCUCAUCAGAAGAAUAAGCAGGAAAUGAUCCCAAACAAUAAUCUUCCCCUUUUGAACUUAGAAGAUAAUUUCCUUGUUUAAAUGUGGGUUUAAAUUCAGGUCUGAUUAUUGUCUGGGAACUCAAACAUUGCAGAAUUGUGGUGUUUUCUUCUAAUUCUGGUUUUCUCUGAAUGACAAUUCAUAAAGUUGUCUUUGACUGUUCCAUCACAUCAGUAUUGGAGUGUUUGGUCUCAUACUAGUCUUGUCUGACUUGUAGUCAGUGGCAGAGUGUAACAGAGGGAGCUUUGAUAUGACCUUUGGGAAAAUUCCCAUGUUUAACACCAGAUGAGCACUCCUGAGAGGUCAUGCAGAAGGCUAAUUGCUUAAACUACAAUGUGCUUCUCUUUGGCCAGUUUGUUUUUCCAGAGGGAGGGAGAUGGGGAAGGUUCUUCCAAUUUCCUGGUUGGCAAAUACUGUUUGUUUUUACGCUGGAAUGUUUUUCAUCCUGGUCAGUGCAUUUUCCAAGAGGAAAGGUUCUGUGUUUUUGAGAACUGCACCUGGCUGCUUAGGAUUUGAUGUUGCAUUCAGAUCAUCGAGCACUGAAAGUGAAGAAGACAUCUGUGCUGUAGCAGGCUGUUGAAGAAACUUAAUGGCUUUUCCUUUACAUGAAAGCAAGCCCCUGCCCCUCAUACAUUUCCAUGGCACUUUGGAGCAGCAGCUCUGAUUCCUAUCCAUUCUCCAGGGUUCCAGAACCAGGGCACUGUUGAAUUCUUGGUGUGGUGUGACAGAGUCUCUUAAUGAGAAACUUUCUUUUCUAAACAAUUUAACUAAGGGAAGAGGUGCUAUUCCAUUAACCACUUCCUUAGGCAUUUUGAAUUGAAGGCAUUAAAAUAGUCUGUGGCUUUGUAGAUCCAGCCUUAACGGAGGGAAGGAAAUCUUGUUUUCCAAAAUCCACAUCCUAAAGCCAGUUUGAGCAGCAGGAAAACUUCAGCCUGACUUGACAUUUUGUUCUGCAUUGAGUUUUUUGUCAUUAGCUCUCGCUGCAGGUUUUAACCCAUUCAUUUUAAAAGGUAGAUUCUGUUCCCCCCUACUUUAGUGUUCAUAAAGUAAUCCAAGGGGUGUAAGCAGCUCAGCUCCAACUAUGGUGGCCAGUUUCUCCUUCCUAUAAAACAUGCCCAAAUACCCAGUAGUGGAUCAAGAGUACACUUGACAUCUUGGUAUUGAGAGAAUUUUUAGUAUAUCCAUUAGCCUUUUAUUAAUGAAAAUGUGUUUCCUUUUUAGAAACUAUUCAAGUUUAGAAUAAAUAAUGCUUCUACCAUAGCAAAUGUCUUCAGAACUCUGUUUAGUUAAUUGUCAGGUUUAAAUUUUCUGAUGGCCUUAAACAUACCUGUAUAUAUGUCUUUGCAGUUCUUUCACUCCACGUUUCAAUCCAAUUUGGUCCAUGGCUUAUGUAAGCAGUUGAAAAAUAAAUCUAUUUAAAUG
rnacentral:lncRNA from 1 species